GACGAACGCUGGCGGCGUGCCUAAUACAUGCAAGUUGAGCGCUGAAGGUUGGUACUUGUACCGACUGGAUGAGCAGCGAACGGGUGAGUAACGCGUGGGGAAUCUGCCUUUGAGCGGGGGACAACAUUUGGAAACGAAUGCUAAUACCGCAUAAAAACUUUAAACACAAGUUUUAAGUUUGAAAGAUGCAAUUGCAUCACUCAAAGAUGAUCCCGCGUUGUAUUAGCUAGUUGGUGAGGUAAAGGCUCACCAAGGCGAUGAUACAUAGCCGACCUGAGAGGGUGAUCGGCCACAUUGGGACUGAGACACGGCCCAAACUCCUACGGGAGGCAGCAGUAGGGAAUCUUCGGCAAGGGACGAAAGUCUGACCGAGCAACGCCGCGUGAGUGAAGAAGGUUGUCGGAUCGUAAAACUCUGUUGGUAGAGAAGAACGUUGGUGAGAGUGGAAAGCUCAUCAAGUGACGGUAACUACCCAGAAAGGGACGGUUAACUACGUG
rnacentral:rRNA from 1 species